GUGCUUGCUUCGGCAGCACAUAUACUAAAAUUGGAGCGAUACAGAGAAAAUUGGCAUGGACCCUGUGCAAGGAUGACAGUCCAAGAGCUGAGGGGUAGAGAGAAUCCCU
rfam:Canis lupus familiaris chromosome 5, whole genome shotgun sequence.